rnacentral:tRNA from 1 species
GGCCUCGCUGGCGCGGGCAUCGAGCGCGGCCUGCUGGCGCUGGGCCGACAGCUUCUGCUCGAGCAGAAGCAGGGCUUC